rnacentral:rRNA from 1 species
UUAAACUGAAGAGUUUGAUCAUGGCUCAGAUUGAACGCUGGCGGCAGGCUUAACACAUGCAAGUCGAGCGGGGGAAGGUAGCUUGCUACUGGACCUAGCGGCGGACGG